GUAAAAGAAGAACAAACUCAAGCAUUGAUGCAUCACCGCUACCUUUUCCUCAGUUCAUCAGUUCUCAUAAAUAAUCUUAUUUCUGUGGAUUACUAUUUGUUCAACGAUGAUCAUCACCAGAGAUAUUCACAAGAGAGAGAGAGAAAGAGAGAGAGAGAGAGAGAGAGAGAGAGAGAGAGAGAGAGAGAGAGAGAGAUUGUGCAAACUUGCUGACCUUUGGAGACAGGAUUAUGCAAUUUACUAUUAAAGCAACCAUAAUAUCACAGUAUUGACCUGGACUGGGACCAAUCGUAUAUAAUGGUGUGUGUACUGUAUAUAUAAAUAUAUAAAAAAAAUUCACUUUUUUGUGAAAUAUGUCAUUUGUAAAAUAAAUACAUCACUUUUUUUUAACAAAAUCUUGUUGUAAAUCUUCAUAGAUUUUUUUGUUAUUCUUUACUACAUAUGUUUAUUUAGUGACUUUGGACUCUUUGUGUAAUGUGACUUAUAAAUGGGACUUUAUAUUAAAGUAAAAAUGGUUAUGGUCACUAUUGUUUUUUUGUAAUGAAAACCUAAUAAAAGGAUUUUCCUAAAGAAAAAUGGGCCUGUUUGAAUUGAACAAAACUUACACAGCAGCACUGUUUCAAGAGAACAAUGAAAAUGUAAAUGAAGAUUAAUUUUGUAAAUGAUGUGGAUCCAGAUAGUUUGAUUCAAAAAUCAGAUUUACAGAUUACCUGAAACUAAGGCCAUGUCCCUUCUUUAUUGUGUCAAAAGUUAUUUAAGCGUGAUUGUUUUAAACAAAAGAACCUUUAGAAUUAGAGACAAAUUAAUUAUUUCAGUGAAGAAUCUGCCUCAAGCAUGUAUCUGUCAUGACACUCAAUGAUUUUUAUACAUCCAACAAUAAAUUAUCGGACCCGCUGCUCUGACUGAAUUUCCUCACUUGUUCAGUCGUUCACUACUCCCUAUAUUAGCAAAUGCUAAAUAGUCCACUAUAUGGGGAAGAAGUGAACAAAAAUGAAUGAGACUCUUUCAGACGCUGAUGUAAAUAUCAUGCAUUAGAUAGUAAUAGACAUCACUGUGAAAUCAUCCUACACUGCAAAAAACUAACUUGGUAUUUUUGUCUUGUUUUCAGUACAAAUAUCAAAACAUUCUUAAAUCAAGAUGCAUUUUCUUGACGAGCAAAAUAAGUCUAGUUUUUAGACAAAAAAUAUACAAUUUAAGUGAAUUUGUGCUUAACACAAACAAAUUUUUCAUGAAUUAAGUGUUUAAAAAAGUUCAA